rnacentral:rRNA from 1 species
AGAGUUUGAUCAUGGCUCAUGAUGAACGCUGGCGGCGUACCUAACGCAUGCAAGUCGAACGGACCUUGAAAGCAAUUUUGAGGUUAGUGGCAAACGGGUGAGUAACACGUAGGGAUCUGCCUUGAAGUGGGGAAUAACGGACCGAAAGGUUCGCUAAUACCGCAUGGGCUUGCGAAAGCAAAGGUGGUGAAAGCCAUCGCUUGAAGAGGACCCUGCGUUCGAUCAGGUAGUUGGUGAGGUAACGGCUCACCAAGCCGAUGACCGAUAGCUGAUCUGAGAGGAUGACCAGCCACACUGGGACUGUGAGACGGCCCAGACUCCUACGGGAGGCAGCAGCGAGGAAUAUUGCACACUGGAGGAAACUCUGAUGCAGUAACGCCGCGUGGGGGAAGAAGACCUUCGGGUUGUAAACCUCUUUUUGUAGAGACGAGUGAGGACGGUAUCUAUAGAAUAAGUCUCGGCUAACUACGUGCCAGCAGCCGCGGUAAUU